rnacentral:rRNA from 1 species
UACGUAGGGUGCGAGCGUUGUCCGGAAUUAUUGGGCGUAAAGAGCUUGUAGGCGGUUUGUCGCGUCUGCCGUGAAAUCCCGAGGCUCAACCUCGGGUCUGCAGUCGAUACGAGCAAACUAGAGUGUUGCAGGGGAGACUGGAAUUCCUGGUGUAGCGGUGAAAUGCGCAGAUAUCAGGAGGAACACCGGUGGCGAAGGCGGGUCUCUGGGCAACAACUGACGCUGGAGGAGCGAAAGCGUGGGGAGCGAACAGG